rnacentral:piRNA from 1 species
UGCUUCACGUAGCUGUAUCGAGGCACGGAA